rnacentral:snRNA from 1 species
CAUCAACCAUUUUCUCUU